GACGAACGCUGGCGGCGUGCCUAAUACAUGCAAGUAGAACGCUGAAGAGAGGAGCUUGCUCUUCUUGGAUGAGUUGCGAACGGGUGAGUAACGCGUAGGUAACCUGCCUUGUAGCGGGGGAUAACUAUUGGAAACGAUAGCUAAUACCGCAUAACAAUGGAUGACACAUGUCAUUUAUUUGAAAGGGGCAAUUGCUCCACUACAAGAUGGACCUGCGUUGUAUUAGCUAGUAGGUGAGGUAACGGCUCACCUAGGCGACGAUACAUAGCCGACCUGAGAGGGUGAUCGGCCACACUGGGACUGAGACACGGCCCAGACUCCUACGGGAGGCAGCAGUAGGGAAUCUUCGGCAAUGGGGGCAACCCUGACCGAGCAACGCCGCGUGAGUGAAGAAGGUUUUCGGAUCGUAAAGCUCUGUUGUAAGUCAAGAACGAGUGUGAGAGUGGAAAAUUCACACUGUGACGGUAGCUUACCAGAAAGGGACGGCUAACUACGUGCCAGCAGCCGCGGUAAUACGUAGGUCCCGAGCGUUGUCCGGAUUUAUUGGGCGUAAAGCGAGCGCAGGCGGUUUGAUAAGUCUGAAGUUAAAGGCUGUGGCUCAACCAUAGCUCGCUUUGGAAACUGUCAAACUUGAGUGCAGAAGGGGAGAGUGGAAUUCCAUGUGUAGCGGUGAAAUGCGUAGAUAUAUGGAGGAACACCGGUGGCGAAAGCGGCUCUCUGGUCUGUAACUGACGCUGAGGCUCGAAAGCGUGGGGAGCGAACAGGGUUAGAUACCCUGGUAGUCCACGCCGUAAACGAUGAGUGCUAGGUGUUGGAUCCUUUCCGGGAUUCAGUGCCGCAGCUAACGCAUUAAGCACUCCGCCUGGGGAGUACGACCGCAAGGUUGAAACUCAAAGGAAUUGACGGGGGCCCGCACAAGCGGUGGAGCAUGUGGUUUAACUCGAAGCAACGCGAAGAACCUUACCAGGUCUUGACAUCCCGAUGCUAUUUCUAGAGAUAGAAAGUUACUUCGGUACAUCGGUGACAGGUGGUGCAUGGUUGUCGUCAGCUCGUGUCGUGAGAUGUUGGGUUAAGUCCCGCAACGAGCGCAACCCCUAUUGUUAGUUGCCAUCAUUCAGUUGGGCACUCUAGCGAGACUGCCGGUAAUAAACCGGAGGAAGGUGGGGAUGACGUCAAAUCAUCAUGCCCCUUAUGACCUGGGCUACACACGUGCUACAAUGGUUGGUACAACGAGUUGCGAGUCGGUGACGGCAAGCUAAUCUCUUAAAGCCAAUCUCAGUUCGGAUUGUAGGCUGCAACUCGCCUACAUGAAGUCGGAAUCGCUAGUAAUCGCGGAUCAGCACGCCGCGGUGAAUACGUUCCCGGGCCU
rnacentral:rRNA from 1 species